rnacentral:rRNA from 1 species
UGGGGAAUUUUGGACAAUGGGGGAAACCCUGAUCCAGCCAUCCCGCGUGUGCGAUGAAGGCCUUCGGGUUGUAAAGCACUUUUGGCAGGAAAGAAACGUCAUGGGUUAAUACCCCGUGAAACUGACGGUACCUGCAGAAUAAGCACCGGAUAACUACGUGCCAGCAGCCGCGGUAAUACGUAGGGUGCAAGCGUUAAUCGGAAUUACUGGGCGUAAAGCGUGCGCAGGCGGUUCGGAAAGAAAGAUGUGAAAUCCCAGAGCUCAACUUUGGAACUGCAUUUUUAACUACCGGGCUAGAGUGUGUCAGAGGGAGGUGGAAUUCCGCGUGUAGCAGUGAAAUGCGUAGAUAUGCGGAGGAACACCGAUGGCGAAGGCAGCCUCCUGGGAUAACACUGACGCUCAUGCACGAAAGCGUGGGGAGCAAACAGG